CAGUAGCCGCGGGAAUACGUAGGUCCCGAGCGUUGUCCGGAUUUAUUGGGCGUAAAGCGAGCGCAGGCGGUUAGAUAAGUCUGAAGUUAAAGGCUGUGGCUUAACCAUAGUACGCUUUGGAAACUGUUUAACUUGAGUGCAAGAGGGGAGAGUGGAAUUCCAUGUGUAGCGGUGAAAUGCGUAGAUAUAUGGAGGAACACCGGUGGCGAAAGCGGCUCUCUGGCUUGUAACUGACGCUGAGGCUCGAAAGCGUGGGGAGCAAACAGGAUUAGAUACCCGGGUAGUCCCUGUCUCUUAUACA
rnacentral:rRNA from 1 species